rnacentral:rRNA from 1 species
UACGAAGGGGGCUAGCGUUGCUCGGAAUCACUGGGCGUAAAGGGUGCGUAGGCAGGUCUUUAAGUCAGGGGUGAAAUCCUGGAGCUCAACUCCAGAACUGCCUUUGAUACUGAAGAUCUUGAGUUCGGGAGAGGUGAGUGGAACUGCGAGUGUAGAGGUGAAAUUCGUAGAUAUUCGCAAGAACACCAGUGGCGAAGGCGGCUCACUGGCCCGAUACUGACGCUGAGGUGCGAAAGCGUGGGGAGCAAACAGG